UGAACAAUGUGUUGCGCUAACGAUCGGAUAGGUCAACUGGACAGGGUGGUGGUUGUGCUAUGUUCAUAAGGGAUGGUCUUGUGUAUCGUAAUAUACCUGUCCCAUCUGAAUAUGAAUGUGUGAUGGUGGAAACAUACAUUGCAGCACCCUGAGCAAGGCACACUGGGAAAGGGGAGAGGUGUACACCUGCAGGGUGGUCCUCGACGAUAUCAGUGAAUUCCGCCGCAUUCCAGAAAAGUCACUGUUGUCUAGAGACGGGAGAGGCAAUUGUAGGGGGCUAGAGAGUCCCCACAUGGUGCUAGUUCUGGAAACAAUGUUUUAGAGCUAACUGUUACAGUAUAAUAGUGAAUAAUAUCAUUAGUGCUGUGUGCUAAAUUAACUACUUUGAGAUUAAGUUGUACGUGUCUUCUUUCCUCUGAGAUCACAUACAGUUUGUUUUAAUUGAAAUAUAACCACAAAAGUUACUUUAAUCACGAUUACUGUGAUCACAGUCUAAUGAAGGCAGAACAUUUCAUACAAAUUUUGAUUGAAAAGGAACCUAACCUAAGAUCUGCUCUCAGAACUCACACUGCUAAACAGUACAUUUCCAUAACUUAUUUAUUAUUAAAUGUGUAUUUACUAAUAUGAUUUUAUUAAAUCGUUUCUGCU
ensembl:lncRNA